rnacentral:rRNA from 1 species
GUGGUAUCCUGUCUGAAUAUGGGGGGACCAUCCUCCAAGGCUAAAUACUCCUGACUGACCGAUAGUGAACCAGUACCGUGAGGGAAAGGCGAAAAGAACCCCGGCGAGGGGAGUGAAAAAGAACCUGAAACCGUGUACGUACAAGCAGUGGGAGCACGCUUAGGCGUGUGACUGCGUACCUUUUGUAUAAUGGGUCAGCGACUUAUAUUCUGUAGCAAGGUUAACCGAAUAGGGGAGCCGAAGGGAAACCGAGUCUUAACUGGGCGUUAAGUUGCAGGGUAUAGACCCGAAACCCGGUGAUCUAGCCAUGGGCAGGUUGAAGGUUGGGUAACACUAACUGGAGGACCGAACCGACUAAUGUUGAAAAAUUAGCGGAUGACUUGUGGCUGGGGGUGAAAGGCCAAUCAAACCGGGAGAUAGCUGGUUCUCCCCGAAAGCUAUUUAGGUAGCGCCUCGUGAAUUCAUCUCCGGGGGUAGAGCACUGUUUCGGCAAGGGGGUCAUCCCGACUUACCAACCCGAUGCAAACUGCGAAUACCGGAGAAUGUUAUCACGGGAGACACACGGCGGGUGCUAACGUCCGUCGUGAAGAGGGAAACAACCCAGACCGCCAGCUAAGGUCCCAAAGUCAUGGUUAAGUGGGAAACGAUGUGGGAAGGCCCAGACAGCCAGGAUGUUGGCUUAGAAGCAGCCAUCAUUUAAAGAAAGCGUAAUAGCUCACUGGUCGAGUCGGCCUGCGCGGAAGAUGUAACGGGGCUAAACCAUGCACCGAAGCUGCGGCAGCGACGCUUAUGCGUUGUUGGGUAGGGGAGCGUUCUGUAAGCCUGUGAAGGUGUGCUGUGAGGCAUGCUGGAGGUAUCAGAAGUGCGAAUGCUGACAUAAGUAACGAUAAAGCGGGUGAAAAGCCCGCUCGCCGGAAGACCAAGGGUUCCUGUCCAACGUUAAUCGGGGCAGGGUGAGUCGACCCCUAAGGCGAGGCCGAAAGGCGUAGUCGAUGGGAAACAGGUUAAUAUUCCUGUACUUGGUGUUACUGCGAAGGGGGGACGGAGAAGGCUAUGUUGGCCGGGCGACGGUUGUCCCGGUUUAAGCGUGUAGGCUGGUUUUCCAGGCAAAUCCGGAAAAUCAAGGCUGAGGCGUGAUGACGAGGCACUACGGUGCUGAAGCAACAAAUGCCCUGCUUCCAGGAAAAGCCUCUAAGCAUCAGGUAACAUCAAAUCGUACCCCAAACCGACACAGGUGGUCAGGUAGAGAAUACCAAGGCGCUUGAGAGAACUCGGGUGAAGGAACUAGGCAAAAUGGUGCCGUAACUUCGGGAGAAGGCACGCUGAUAUGUAGGUGAAGCGACUUGCUCGUGGAGCUGAAAUCAGUCGAAGAUACCAGCUGGCUGCAACUGUUUAUUAAAAACACAGCACUGUGCAAACACGAAAGUGGACGUAUACGGUGUGACGCCUGCCCGGUGCCGGAAGGUUAAUUGAUGGGGUCAGCGCAAGCGAAGCUCUUGAUCGAAGCCCCGGUAAACGGCGGCCGUAACUAUAACGGUCCUAAGGUAGCGAAAUUCCUUGUCGGGUAAGUUCCGACCUGCACGAAUGGCGUAAUGAUGGCCAGGCUGUCUCCACCCGAGACUCAGUGAAAUUGAACUCGCUGUGAAGAUGCAGUGUACCCGCGGCAAGACGGAAAGACCCCGUGAACCUUUACUAUAGCUUGACACUGAACAUUGAGCCUUGAUGUGUAGGAUAGGUGGGAGGCUUAGAAGUGUGGACGCCAGUCUGCAUGGAGCCGACCUUGAAAUACCACCCUUUAAUGUUUGAUGUUCUAACGUUGACCCGUAAUCCGGGUUGCGGACAGUGUCUGGUGGGUAGUUUGACUGGGGCGGUCUCCUCCUAAAGAGUAACGGAGGAGCACGAAGGUUGGCUAAUCCUGGUCGGACAUCAGGAGGUUAGUGCAAUGGCAUAAGCCAGCUUGACUGCGAGCGUGACGGCGCGAGCAGGUGCGAAAGCAGGUCAUAGUGAUCCGGUGGUUCUGAAUGGAAGGGCCAUCGCUCAACGGAUAAAAGGUACUCCGGGGAUAACAGGCUGAUACCGCCCAAGAGUUCAUAUCGACGGCGGUGUUUGGCACCUCGAUGUCGGCUCAUCACAUCCUGGGGCUGAAGUAGGUCCCAAGGGUAUGGCUGUUCGCCAUUUAAAGUGGUACGCGAGCUGGGUUUAGAACGUCGUGAGACAGUUCGGUCCCUAUCUGCCGUGGGCGCUGGAGAACUGAGGGGGGCUGCUCCUAGUACGAGAGGACCGGAGUGGACGCAUCACUGGUGUUCGGGUUGUCAUGCCAAUGGCACUGCCCGGUAGCUAAAUGCGGAAGAGAUAAGUGCUGAAAGCAUCUAAGCACGAAACUUGCCCCGAGAUGAGUUCUCCCUGACUCCUUGAGAGUCCUGAAGGAACGUUGAAGACGACGACGUUGAUAGGCCGGGUGUGUAAGCGCAGCGAUGCGUUGAGCUAACCGGUACUAAUGAACCGUGAGGCUUAACC